rnacentral:misc_RNA from 1 species
GAAAUGCGAUAAGUAAUGUGAAUUGCAGAAUUCAGUGAAUCAUCGAAUCUUUGAACGCACCUUGCGCUCCUUGGUAUUCCUUGGAGCAUGCCUGUUUGAGUAUCAUGAAAUCUUCAAAGUAAAUCUUUUGUUAACUCAAUUGGUUUCUACUUUGGAAUUGGAGGUCUUUGCAGCUUCACACCUGCUCCUCUUUGUUCAUUAGCUGGAUCUCAGUGUUAUGCUUGGUUCCACUCGGCGUGAUAAGUUAUCUAUCGCUGAGGACACUGUAAAAGGUGGCCAAGGUAAAUGCAGAUGAACCGCUUCUAAUAGUCCAUUGACUUGGACAAUACUUUUAUGAUCUGAUCUCAAAUCAGGUAGAACUACCCGCUGAACUUAAGC